CGUGGGCGCUGGAAGACUGAGGGGGGCUGCUCCUAGUACGAGAGGACCGGAGUGGACGCAUCACUGGUGUUCGGGUUGUCAUGCCAAUGGCACUGCCCGGUAGCUAAAUGCGGAAAAGAUAAGUGCUGAAAGCAUCUAAGCACGAAACUUGCCCCGAGAUGAGUCUUCCCUGAGACUUUGAGUCUCCUGAAGGAACGUUAAAGACGAUGACGUUGAUAGGCCGGGUGUGUAAGCGCAGCGAUGCGUUGAGCUAACCGGUACUAAUGAACCGUGAGGCUUAACCUUACAACGCCGAAGCUGUU
rnacentral:rRNA from 1 species